rnacentral:misc_RNA from 1 species
GAAAUGCGAUAAGUAGUGUGAAUUGCAGAAUUCAGUGAAUCAUCGAAUCUUUGAACGCACAUUGCGCCCCUUGGUAUUCCAUGGGGCAUGCCUGUUCGAGCGUCAUUUGUACCCUCAAGCUUUGCUUGGUGUUGGGCGUCUUUGUCCCGCGUUUGCGCGUGGACUCGCCUGAAAGCGAUUGGCAGCCGGCAUAUUGGCCUGGGAGCACAGCACAUUUUGCGCUUCUAGUCAUGCGUGUUGGCAUCCAGUAAGCAACCAUUUUUUUUUGCUCUUGACCUCGGAUCAGGUAGGGAUACCCGCUGAACUUAAGC